UAAUGUCUGGGAAACUGCCUGAUGGAGGGGGAGUAACUACUGGAAACGGUAGCUAAUACCGCAUAACGUCGCAAGACCAAAGAGGGGGACCUUCGGGCCUCUUGCCAUCAGAUGUGCCCAGAUGGGAUUAGCUAGUAGGUGGGGUAACGGCUCACCUAGGCGACGAUCCCUAGCUGGUCUGAGAGGAUGACCAGCCACACUGGAACUGAGACACGGUCCAGACUCCUACGGGAGGCAGCAUG
rnacentral:rRNA from 1 species